GACGAACGCUGGCGGCGUGCUUAACACAUGCAAGUCGAACGGAAAGGCCCUGCUUUUGUGGGGUGCUCGAGUGGCGAACGGGUGAGUAACACGUGAGUAACCUGCCCUUGACUUUGGGAUAACUUCAGGAAACUGGGGCUAAUACCGGAUAGGAGCUCCUGCUGCAUGGUGGGGGUUGGAAAGUUUCGGCGGUUGGGGAUGGACUCGCGGCUUAUCAGCUUGUUGGGGGGGUAGUGGCUUACCAAGGCUUUGACGGGUAGCCGGCCUGAGAGGGUGACCGGCCACAUUAGGACUGAGAUACGGCCCAGACUCCUACGGGAGGCAGCAGUGGGGAAUAUUGCACAAUGGGCGGAAGCCUGAUGCAGCAACGCCGCGUGCGGGAUGACGGCCUUCGGGUUGUAAACCGCUUUCGCCUGUGACGAAGAGUGAGUGACGGUAAUGGGUAAAGAAGCACCGGCUAACUACGUG
rnacentral:rRNA from 1 species